GCUAGUAAUCGCAGAUCAGCAUGCUGCGGUGAAUACGUUCCCGGGUCUUGUACACACCGCCCGUCACACCAUGGGAGCCGGGAAUGCCCGAAGUCAGCGGCCCAACCGAAAGGAGGGAGCUGCCGAAGGCAGGCCUGGUGACUGGGGUGAAGUCGUAACAAGGUAUC
rnacentral:rRNA from 1 species